rnacentral:rRNA from 1 species
UGGCGACCAUAGCGUUUUGGACCCACCUGACUCCAUCCCGAACUCAGAAGUGAAAC